GAUGAACGCUAGCUACAGGCUUAACACAUGCAAGUCGAGGGGAAACGCCAUCGAAAGCUUGCUUUUGAUGGGCGUCGACCGGCGCACGGGUGAGUAACGCGUAUCCAACCUGCCCACCACUUGGGGAUAACCUUGCGAAAGUAAGACUAAUACCCAAUGACGUCUCUAGAAGACAUCUGAAAGAGAUUAAAGAUUUAUCGGUGAUGGAUGGGGAUGCGUCUGAUUAGCUUGUUGGCGGGGUAACGGCCCACCAAGGCGACGAUCAGUAGGGGUUCUGAGAGGAAGGUCCCCCACAUUGGAACUGAGACACGGUCCAAACUCCUACGGGAGGCAGCAGUGAGGAAUAUUGGUCAAUGGACGAGAGUCUGAACCAGCCAAGUAGCGUGCAGGAUGACGGCCCUAUGGGUUGUAAACUGCUUUUAUAAGGGAAUAAAGUGAGUCUCGUGAGACUUUUUGCAUGUACCUUAUGAAUAAGGACCGGCUAAGUCCGUG
rnacentral:rRNA from 1 species